rnacentral:rRNA from 1 species
AUGAAUCUAUUGGCCUGGAAUUGUCGAGGACUGGGGUUGGACUCGACAGUUGGCGAGCUUAGAGACCUGAUACGGUCAUACAACCCAGCGAUGGUGUUCUUAUCAGAGACAAAAAAGAGUGCAAAAGCAAUGGAGAGGCUCAAGUGGAGCCUAGGGUUUAGGCGAGGAGUGGCGGUGAAUUGUGCAGGAAAGAGUGGUGGUUUGGCGUUGUGGUGGAGAGAUCAUGUGAAUGCGACAGUCAGACCGUGA